rnacentral:rRNA from 1 species
GACGAACGCUGGCGGCGUACUUAACACAUGCAAGUCGAACGAAGUGGCGAACGGGUGAGUAACGCGUAAUCAACCUGCCCUUCAGAGGGGGACAACAGUUGGAAACGACUGCUAAUACCGCAUACUGAAGGAGGGGAUUGCGUCUGAUUAGCUAGUGGGAGGGGUAACGGCCCACAAAGGCGAUGAUCAGUAUCCGGUAUGGUAGGGUUAACGGCCACAUUGGGACUGAGAAACGGCCCAGACUCCUACGGGAGGCAGCAGUUGGGAAUCUUCCGAAAUGGGCGAAAGUCUGACGGAGCAACUCCGCGUGAGUGGAGACGGCCUUCGGGUUUUAAAGCUCUGUUAAUCGGGGCGCGGUACCGGAAUAGAAAGCCACGGCUAACUACGUGCCAGCAGCCGCGGUAAUAC